AAGACUAUACUUCACAGGAUCAUUUCUGUAGUCAGUCUUCAUUUACUUUCUUUGCAAAUCGAAAGUCGACAGACCCGCGAUGAGGAGACAUAUCGUUUUAUCUGGCAGCGUGAGGUUUAUGAAUAUUAUUUCUAAUUUCGUCCUUAAUGGUCGUGUUUGAAAUAAUAUUUCUUCGAUGAUCGCUCGGUUUAAACGGAUAAAACGACUUCUGAGUGGU